ensembl:snRNA U6 U6 spliceosomal RNA
GGGCUCACUUCAGCAACACAUAUAUUAAAAUUGUUACGAUACAGAUUAGCAUGGCCCCUGUGCAAGGAUGACAGGCAAGUUUGUGAAGUGCUCCAUAUUUUC